GUCAAAGGCGCAUGCCUAUACAUGCAGUCCGAGCGGACAGAUGUGGAGCUUGCUCCCUGAUGUUAGCGGCGGACGGGUGAGUAACACGUGGGUAACCUGCCUGUAAGACUGGGAUAACUCCGGGAAACCGGGGCUAAUACCGGAUGGUUGUUUGAACCGCACGGUUCAAACAUAAAAGGUGGCUUCGGCUACCACUUACUGAUGGACCCGCGGCGCACUAGCUAGUUGGUGAGGUAACGGCUCACCAAGGCAACGAUGCGUAGCCGACCUGAGAGGGUGAUCGGCCACACUGGGACUGAGACACGGCCCAGACUCCUACGGGAGGCAGCAGUAGGGAAUCUUCCGCAAUGGACGAAAGUCUGACGGAGCAACGCCGCGUGAGUGAUGAAGGUUUUCGGAUCGUAAAGCUCUGUUGUUAGGGAAGAACAAGUACCGUUCGAAUAGGGCGGUACCUUGACGGUACCUAACCAGAAAGCCACGGCGAACUACGUGCCAGCAGCCGCGGUAAUACGUAGGUGGCAAGCGUUGUCCGGAAUUAUUGGGCGUAAAGGGCUCGCAGGCGGUUUCUUAAGUCUGAUGUGAAAGCCCCCGGCUCAACCGGGGAGGGUCAUUGGAAACUGGGGAACUUGAGUGCAGAAGAGGAGAGUGGAAUUCCACGUGUAGCGGUGAAAUGCGUAAAGAUGUGGAGGAACACCAGUGGCGAAAGCGACUCUCUGGUCUGUAACUGACGCUAAGGAGCGAAAGCGUGGGGAGCGAACAGGAUUAGAUACCCUGGUAGUCCACGCCGUAAACGAUGAGUGCUAAGUGUUAAGGGGUUUCCGCCCCUUAGUGCUGCAACUAACGCAAUAAGCACUCCGCCCGGGGAGUACGGUCGCAAGACUGAAACUCAGAGGAAUUGACGGGGGCCGCACAAGCGGUGGAGCAUGUGGUUUAAUUCGAAGCAACGCGAAGAACCUUACCAGGUCUUGACAUCCUCUGACAACCUAGAGAUAGGACGUCCCCUCCGGGGCAAAAUGACAGGGGGGGCAGGGUGUCCUCACCCGUGUCGGGAAGAUUGGGUUAAUCCCCCAACAAAGGCAACCCUUGAUUUUAUUUGCCCCCAUCAAUUGGGCCCCUAAGGGGAGUGCCGGGGACAACCCGAAGAAGGGGGGGGGGGGGGCCCAUCAUCAUGGCCCUUUUAAAAGGGGGGAAACCUUGCUU
rnacentral:rRNA from 1 species